GACGAACGCUGGCGGCGUGCCUAAUACAUGCAAGUUGAGCGCUGAAGGUUGGUACUUGUACCAACUGGAUGAGCAGCGAACGGGUGAGUAACGCGUGGGGAAUCUGCCUUUGAGCGGGGGACAACAUUUGGAAACGAAUGCUAAUACCGCAUAAAAACUUUAAACACAAGUUUUAAGUUUGAAAGAUGCAAUUGCAUCACUCAAAGAUGAUCCCGCGUUGUAUUAGCUAGUUGGUGAGGUAAAGGCUCACCAAGGCGAGGAUACAUAGCCGACCUGAGAGGGUGCUCGGCCACGUUGGGACUGAGACACGGCCCAAACUCCUACGGGAGGCAGCAGUAGGGAAUCUUCGGCAAUGGACGAAAUGCUGACCGAGCAACGCCGCGUGAGUGAAGAAGGUUUUCGGAUCGUAAAAAUCUGUUGGUAGAGAAGAACGUUGGUGAGAGUGGAAAGCUCAUCAAGUGACGGUAACUACCCAGAAAGGGACGGCUAACUACGUG
rnacentral:rRNA from 1 species